AUGUGAAGCACUUUGAGCUGCAUUUUAUGUAUGAAAGGUGCUAUAUAAAUAAAGUAUUAUUAUUAUUAUUAUUAUUAUUAUUAUUAUUAUUAAAACAAUAUUCAACUGUCUACCAUGUUUUGGAAAUGUUCCAGUUGAGGUCAUAUCCCGUACAUACAUUAAAAACAAACUACAAGCAAACCAACGAAUGCUUACUUUUUACAGUGUGAAAUAUCCUUAUUCUAAAAUACCACUAACCUAUUUAAAGACACUCAAUUUCAAAAAUAACUUAUAUAACCGAAAUAUUUUCAGCAGUAACACUUGGACAUUUGGACAAUGAAAUUUUAUUUGUGUUCAGUAGAUUCAUCUAGUUUAUUUCAGUGUUCAGUGAGCAGCGUUUUUCACAGAUGUACUGGCAUACCUUCGGCUAUUGUUGGUUGUUGCUACGAUGGAAUACACUAUCGUCCAGUGUGUCAUGCGUGGGUGGUGUAGUUACAGAUGAGACUGCAGGGAGGGGGAGCUUGGUAAAUGCACUACCAGUGCAACAAUGGUUUCAACUCAUAAUGUGGUUGCAGGAGCAUAGAAUGUCUGAAUUGAGCAAUCUAGGCAUGCCGGCGUGCCGACCACUAGGGGCUUUGUGCUAAGAGGUUAAAGUGAAAAAAAAUAUGUUUGUCCGGGUACCGAAGCUAACAUAUAUCCCAGGGAGCCCUAACUAAGGUUACUCCAUCUGGUUAGUGAAACUAUCUAAAUAUCCCGAACUAUGACCCAAUUAUACUUAUAUGAAAUAAUACUAGGAUCCAUCUGGACACUGAAACUAACCUCUGUCCCAGAGCAGCUGCACUUCCGGUCAGUGAAACUAACAAACAUAUUUUCCAGGUUAAAGUUGCUUAUUCAUGGCAUGAAAACAUUAUUUGCAAGAUACCCGGAGGAGUAGCACAUUUAACUGCUAGGACAGAAGAUCUAAUGGUACACAGGCAACUUUUUGGGGCAAUAUUGCCAGCAACUAAAGUUGCCCUGAUACACUGGUGGCAAUGGAGUGGCAACAGGCAAUGGGCAACGUAACUGAAAAAGAAUGUUCGGUAACCAAUAACCAUUCAAAUUUCAUAUUGAUGCCUCUGAAACCUUACCUGGACCUAUCAGAACACAAUAUUCUGUUACCUGGGGGAUAUUAUCUUGGAGAUGUUAAGCAGAAAAAUGGAGGACCUGACUUAUGCGGCAGUUACCAUUUUCCUGGCCUCAUCGUUGAUUGUUAAAAGAUAACAACAGGCCAAACGCAAGAGGACUACAUGGAAAAGGAGAUGGUUGUUGAAAAGACGGCUAGGCUGCUACAGCCAACUGUUAAGGGAACUGGUGGAGGAAAUUCCCAUGGGCUACAGGAGCUGGAUGAGGAUGGAUAUGGAGAUGUUCAAUUGCUUGUUAGGGAGGAUUGAAGAACAGAUACAAAGACAAGACACCACAAUGCGAAAAGCCAUAACGCCAGGUGAACGCCUCUCCAUCACCCUGCGUUACCUGGCCACUGGUGAAACCUUCUCCUCCUCCUGGAGGACCUGUUCAGGAUCAGCUGUCACAGCAUUGGGCGUAUUGUCAUAGAUACCUGCAAGGCAUUAUAUCAAAGCCUACAGCCUGAAUUUAUGAAAUUACCAUCAACAGCAGAAGAUGGGAGGCUGUAGCCCAGAAGUGUGAACAAAUUGCAUUGGGGCUUUAGAUGGGAAACAUAUUCUAAUUCAACCACCACCUAACUCUGGCUCUCACUACUUUAACUACAAAGAUACCCAUUCAAUUGUUUUGAUGGCACUUCUUGAUGCAGAUUUAAAAUAUCUAUAUAUUGACGUAGGCACAAAUGAUAGGGUGAGCAAUGGAGGAGUCUGGGGAAAAUGUGGACUGAACAGUGCCUUGGUGAAUAAC